GUUGCCACGGGUGACGAGACACAGCCAGCAUUCUCCUCUCAGUUGUUGUCAAAGGCGGGCAGGGAGGAGAGAAACAGAGACACGAGCGGAGCGGCGAAGGGGAGGAAGCGGCUCGUUCUCCCGUCAAACUCAGACCAACUGUAUGCAAAAGGGCAAAAAUGAGAAAUGGUUAAAGGCAGCCAAUCAGGGGGCUGGAUUCUUUCAUCUCUGCCUCCACCCGUGUAGACGAUGGUGACAACUUGUUCUUCUAGGAAAGUGUUGCCUCAGCACUCAGCGGCGCCGGAGUGCCGGCUGUGACCCCACCGACACUGAGGAGCACAGAGACCGCGGCUCCGCUGCCGAACGCUUCGCACGCCUCUGCAGGAUCAUUCUUCUGGGCGCAGCGGUCCUCUGCUGAGGGUGAUGCCAGCCUAUGGAUGAGGAUGGCUGACGACCUCUACAGCAGCACCUUCUCCGUUUCCGAAUCCGACCUCUCCUCUUCCUCUUCGUCCUCGGCCACCGCUCCUUUUCUCACGGUUGAGCAGAGGGCAGCUUUCGUCUUUGUCCUCAUCCUCUUCAUCUUCCUGGGCCUCCUGAUCGUUCGCUGUUUCCGGAUCCUUCUGGACCCGUAUCGCAGCAUGCCGUCCUCCACCUGGACAGACUACAUGGAGAAGGACACCUUCGAUUACCGGAUUUCCUGACAGGCAGCCUGAGAGGCAGCAACCCUAACUAACUAACUGUUAAACUGAGGCCGCUAUCACACUGAUGAACUAAAGCAAAAAGCACAAGUGCUCGUUUCCUUCUUCAAUUGUCACUUAUUCUUAAACACAUUUUUUCUAAAUCAACUUUUGGUUUGUGGCUCCUGCGAGAACGCUUACAGCAAUCAUUUCAUCAUUUGUACAAGAAGUAAAUAUUUUUUUAUCAUUUUUUGCAAAAUAUUAAAUUAAAAGUCACCACAUUUGACUUUUCUGCACUCCCCCUGGAGCUGAUGAAGCAUCUCAUGGGGUUUAUCAGUAACCAUGGAUACGGCUUUGUACUGUUCAGUUUGCAAGUUGACAAAUAAACUCAAAGCAAUUUUCCUUAAACUUUCUGCAAACUUAAAUAAACUUUAGUGCUGUUAGGGCUUUUUUUAAAAAACAAAAAUGACUACUUAAUCUAAAAUAUUAUAAUAUUAACUUCCAGAUUCAAGCACACUUAAAAAGAAAAUGAACUGUAGCGAAGUCAGUCUCCCAAGAUACACAAGCAAUAGACAAUUUCUUUAAUGUGAAUUUAAGACACACGGUGUGGUCACAUGACCGACAGGUGGUCAUUUAAAUCCCAGCUUCAGCGUGACCCCAAUGAGUUUUUCAUUUUUGGACAGAUGAUGACCUGCCUGAAACCAUUGACUGUAUAUAAGAACUGGACUGAGUAACUCCCCCAAACAGGAAGUACCUGUUGGCUCAAAGAAGCCAAAAUCCUAUAAAUUUCUAUAAAGAAAUAAAGUCAUAAACUGACCAAUCAGAUGCCUUUUAUAAAAGUAGGUGGAGCCUCCUGGCCUUCACGUCCAACAUUUGGCAGAUUUUAAGUGGGUGUGGCCUUCCAACUAACUCAGACUGACUCUGACCAAUCACUACUUACUGUCAUUGUCUGGUUCCAACAUGGCGAUGUCUGUAUCGCAAGAAAUAGGAGACUGAAUUGACUUUUUUGUGGAGCCACUUUCUUUCUAUAAUUGAUGUCACACUCACUCUGUCCAGUUCUCAGAUACGGACAGUGCCUGAAACCAACCAAAGAGCGUCACAUGACCACAUGCUCCGACUAUAUUCUGUAGGUCCGAACCACUCCACACUGUAACACAAAAAGGAAACGUGCGCUUUGUGUUUGUGAUGCUUUAAGUCUGAUAGAGGUCUCAGUCUGCCCGGCAGGCAGCACAUCUGAGCAAAAACCCUCAACUGAAACCCAAUUUGACUCAGUCCAUGGUUAAUAAAGAUACUUUUUGGGAUGUAUCGCUAAGAAAUUAAAAGUCACAUUUGUGGGUCGUAGAUGUUAUGCCGUGAGCUGAAAUUGGGGGAAUCGUUUGCCUGAACACACAAGGCAUUAGCGGAGUGAUUAAACACCAGUAAGCAGUUGCGGUUUUUUGCUCAGACCUCGUGAAGGUUGAAGAAAUCCCUCUGCUCUGCAGCUCUCUGACAGCAGCACUGCAGGAAUCUGCAGCAGUGCAGCCAGAACAUGAAGAGAAUGUACGAGCGUGAGAGGUGGGCAGGGAUUUCAUCAAGCGCCUGUCGGGCAGCAUGUUAGGGUUGCUGUCUCUCAUGGGAAGAAAAACUCGUUCUGUUUUUUUUUGUACUACGUGUUCCCUGUUUUUGUAAAAAAAAAAAAGAAAAAAAAGAAAACUGUAAGAACUUCAUCCAACAACUUCGCGAAACUUGAUGUUGACACGAAGUGCUAUUUCUGAAGAGCAUUAGGAGGUGGAAGAGCAGGCCCAGAAGAGGUGGAGGCAAGAGGACAGAGGGAACAAGGCUGUGCUGAAUUGGUUGGACUGCAGAGACGAGACGGUUUCCAGCGCCUCUUCGUUGUCCUGUCAGCCUGUCCGUUGCUUAGUAACUGGUGUUUUCAGUGCCAGCUGAGAUCUGGAGCCAAAAAAAAAAAAAAACAGCUCUAAAGGAACAGAAACACAAACUAAAUGAAGACAAAAAAAAUCCCCCAAAUGUGUUCCACAGCAUCUGUCAGACAGUUUGGCACAAAACCAGUCAUCCUCUGUGACCUGAAGUCCCUCGGUGUUCUGAACAGAAGUCAACAGCGGCCCACCCUUGGGUGGCCUGUAGGGAUUCUGCUGUAAUGGGCCCUCUCGUUGUUGGAGGUCUCCUGUCAAACUGCUGAGCCCAACGCCUUUGGAGCAGAGAAACAGUUUGAAGUCAGAGUAGAAACAUCUGAAGGAAAUGAAAAGCUGCUUCCCUUUGAGCUUUCUCCUGACAGGAGAUUGGAACGCAUUAACAUGGUUAACUUUCUUCACUGACGAAGACACUGGGAGCAAAAACAAAACAAUGGCUGACAUAUUUCCAAUCAGCAGAUUGGUUUUUGUUAUGUGCAGCAGUUUUAGAAGAAAAUGCUAGGACUUUUUUAUUCUUUUGUCUGCUUGGUUCAAGGAGGGUUUUUCCAUGGAAGACUAAAGCCCAGCAUCUCUGCAGCUGGGCAGAAAACCUUCAAUAGGACUUUUUUUUUGCUCCUCCUCAUGGCAGCGACCCUCGCUGCAGGUGAGGUGACCAGAAGAGGAACACUAUCAGAAAUGGAGAAAAUAACUUUUUUUUCCCUUAAAGCAAAAACAGCCAAACACUGUUUCAAAACGCCGGAAUUCAAUGGGAUCAAGCUUAAAAGACAAUCUGAAUUUCCAUGGAAGGGAGUUUUGUUUUUCUUUUGAAGGAUUUCAAGGAUAUAAUAUUAUUUUUUAUCUUUUUUUUGGAGAAAGAUCUAACUCCCACAACUUUAAGAUGAUUUUAAUUUAUUUUAUAUUUAUCUAAGCAUUUAAAUUCAAGUCUUUUUUUGCCUGAGUGCAGAUAUUUUUCACAUCUUGGCAACUUUUUUUUUGUUAGUUUUGAGCACUCACUGCAAAAAAAGGCCAUCUAAAAAAAAUAAAAAAAAUCAUAUAAAUAAGAUUAAAGAAAAAUCUGCCAAUGGGGUAAGAAAAAUUGUCUCUUAUUUCAAGAAAAAAUACAACUUUUUUUCUUAAAUUAAGAUUAUUUUGCCAUUGAGAAACUUUCUCAAUCACAUUAAUCUUCUUCCCAGACAAAAAAAAGACAUUUUAUUGAAACAAGGUCUUUUUGCUUUCUUAAGAUUCAAUUUUAGGAAUUUUUUGUGAAAUUUUCAAUGUAUUUUGGUAUUAUUUAAAACAACCCACUGUGAUCUAUUUACAUGAUUUAGGGACAAAACUAGGACUGAGUGAAUCUAGAGGCAGUAUUCUACCAAACUUUGCCUCAAAAGCUGCCAUCAUCACCCUUAAUUUUAUUUUUAUUUACUUGUAAACUAAAAAAAAUAAGAUGCUUUAACAGUAUGUUGUGCAGAGGAUGUUUCUCUAACUUUUUCCAUUUUGUAGAUUGUUCCUACUUUCCCAUAGGUGUUACCUAUGGAGCUCUAUGGAUGACUGCAUUUUGACAUUUUUUUUUUUACCAGAGCUUCAGAGGAAAUAUGCAAAGUCUAGCUGCCAACAAAGAAGGACCUAAAUUUCCUCAAGAAUCUGAUUAUUUUUGCACUUUUGCAUGAAAAACCAUUGUCUUGUAAUUCCAGUUUAGUCUCAAAAGAGCCAAACAUCUUAACAAAUUAAAAACACCUUUUCUCACAGCAUAACUUCUUUGUUUUAUAGUUUUAGAGAACAUUAUUACAAGUAAAGUAGAGUAAGAUUUCUUUUUUGGAUCCCACUUAGGGAGAAUGUUUUGGGUUUUUUGUGUAAAAGUAAACAAUUAAACACCACAAGGUAUCUAAUUCCAUUUGGCAAAAAUUAAACCAAAUCGAAAUUCAGUAAAUAAAUUCAAUUUUCAACAGAUUUAUUUCCAGCCCAAUGCUGCUAACUAAUUUCUUCAUCAUCUGGUUGUUCUUUAAGACGGAUACGUUGGCAGUUUUCUAGGCAGAGAAACCGUUUACUGGUGAGCAUUAAAGUAUUUACAAGCAUCUGUCUGAAAGCUUGGCCAUAAAUGGAUCAAAUAAAAACAGAAACGGUUUCUUGAUGACCAAUAAAUCCACGCUUCAAUGUUUGGAAAACGUUGUUUCAUUGGCCCUGAGCUCAAACAAACGAAAACAAUAAGGAGACGCUUUAGGAGAUAAAUGAAAAAACAAAUGUCUCCAUAAAAGUCAUUGAGCUGAAUUAAAAGCCUGCGUUGUUGCAAAAGACUUGUCAUAAAAGAAAACUUCAACUUUUGCUGCUGGAGAUGGUGGAAGAUUUUUUUGCUAUUGUAAUCUCAGAAUGAGAUAUUAUUGGAGAACCAAUUUUCAAGACUUUGCAAAAGGCAGAUAAGGAUUUAUAGAUUUUGUAAUGUAAUAUUUAAACUGUUUUCGCUUAUUUUUUUGUUUGAACUUAAUCUGAGCCAGGGGUCUGCAACCUUUAACCCUAAAAAAAAAGGCUAUUUGGUUCAGGUUCUUACCAACCAACCCAGCGAAUGCUGCAAAUUCCCACUCAGUCUUCUAGAAAAGAAAAAAAAAUCACUUUAAUCAUGAUUGUGGCCAUUGAACCAUUUAAUUAUAAUGUGACUUUUAAAUACCUAAAUUAAUUGAAUUGUAGCAGCGCUAUAGUUUUAUAUACUUUAUUUUUUCGUUUGUUUUCUUUACUUUGCGUUUUUUGGCAUCUGCAACUUAAACUCAUAAGUGUCUAAUACAUUUUUUUCUUUCAUCUCUAUCAUGCUUUUUAUUUUCUUCGGAAGCAACUUAUACAUUUUUUUUCUUCUUUAUUAUGAAUUUUUUACUUAUAUUCUCAAGCAUCUUAUCUAUGUUUUUUUUCUUCAUAAUGCAUUUUUUGGCAUCUGUAACUAAUACUCCAAAGCUGACGAAGACGUUACAGUACUCCACCGCUUAUUCGCGGUUUUACGUAUUCGCAGAAUUUUUUUCAGUUGUGUAACUCUUGUCACAAAAACUCAGACAACUCAAGACGCUUGUAUAAAAUGUUUGCCUCAGAAGGAGGUGCUGCACUGCUGAGGUGUAUCUCUGCUCAGUGGAGCCCCCUCUAGACCACAGAGAGGGACCGCCGGUUGACUACCACCCUCCUCUCUCCAUGCCCCUGCAUGGAGAAAUGGCAUCAGUUGAUUCAGAAGCGGCCAAAAAAAAUCCUGUUGUGCUGAAGAAGAUAAUCACGGAGGAUAAUUAUCAUCCAGAGUAGGUAUUUAUUAUCUGAAGAAAGACAAAGCGUCCGCUCCUGAUUUUAAGGCACAGAGUAAUACUCCUCAUCUGCGUCAAAAAGUACGCUGUUACUCAAGCUGCUGUAAGAUCUUUUGUUCUGAGUCAAAAAUAAAAAAAUCCUUAUAUUGAGCAAUUCUCCAAUAUUCUUUAGUAAAUGUGUUACGAAGAAUGAUCAAAAGUGUUUUUGAUGAGUAACAGACAUCCUUCUGCCGCGGGGGUAGGGGGUUCUCCUUAUUCGCGGAUUCCGCAUAUUCGCGGAUGCCUCUGGUCCCCAACCCCCAUGAAUAGGGGGGGAAUAUUGUAUUUUUUUUUCCUUUUUAUGGACGUUUGGCGUCUGCAACUUAUACUUCAAAGCGUGUAACAUGUUUUUUUUUCUAUCUCAUUAUGCCUCUUUUUUUUGCGUAUGUAAUUUAUACUCCAAAGUAACUUAUAUGUAUAUAUGCUCUGUAUAUACACAGUAAUACAUCUAUAUUCAUGCUAUAUAUAUAUAUAUAUAUAUUAUAAACAGUACAUAUACAGUAAUAUAUAUAUGUAUAUACAGUAUAUAUAUAUAUAUAUAUUUAUAUAUAUAUAGGAAGUGGUGUAUAAAUAUUUUUUUCUUUUUUUCUCCUGUCAAAAUAAAAUUUGUUUGAAUUAGAAAAGCUACAAAGUCGAAUCAAACAUGGUAUUUUUGAUCAAUAUGAAUGCAAUAUAUUUUUUAAAAUCCAUACAUGUAAAUGCAAUUCAAUAUUUUAAGAAAGUUGUCUCUGAACAUAAAUUUACAUUAUUGUGCCGCAAGAGAUAUGAACAUGUGCUUUAAGACCAUUCUAGGAAUAAACCACAGUAUUUCAUAACCUUAAACUAUGAUAAACUAAAUCACAAAUCUAAUAUUUAUUCAAAUUAUUUGUGUUUUUUCUUCACAUGGAGGGCUGAAAGAGAAGUGGCUCCAAAGGUUGCAGACCCCUGACCAAAGCCAAAAUCUUCGUUUUGUCAAAUCUUCUUUUAAAAAGUAUCCAUGUUACAUCUGUUUUUCUUCAACACAAGUGCAUGCUCAUGAAUCUUCAAAUUAGGUGGGAUAUAAAAGGAAAUGCACUGCCUCCGUUUUCACGCGCAUGCCUUCCCAGCAGAAACAAACACGCACAACAAAACCAAACACUUCUUUAACGCCAACACAAUAUCUGCACACACACAAAAUGCUGGCUGUCAAACACUUUUAGCAUCUCACUGCCAAACCAAACCUUCUCUUUCCCUCUGUCCUACCCCUCUCGUUCCAUACUGUCCCUUCCUGCUGUGCCCACCCCACUUUCCCUGCGCUCAGAUGUUUUUUAAUCUCCUUUUUGCUUUACUACCCUGACAGGUGAAAUGAAUUUGUGUUGCUAACACCAAUAAAGAAGUAAAACGGCGAUAAAGGAAGGGAAAAAAAAAAAAGUUCUCUCUUGGACGUCUUUUUGUCUUAUCUCCUCUCCUGCCCUGACGCUCGUCUUCCGCUGAAAGAGCUAAAACUCUUAUUACUAAGCUGUCAACUGCAGGUGGAUGAAAUAACCAUUGUGAGGGCUUUUAUUGAAGGUGCAGUAAUGUGCUUUAAGACUGCCGACAGCUUGGUUAUAUUUGUUAUUACACUAUUGACUUGCAAAGUGCGGCUUAGCCUCGCCGUGGGUGCAGCUUUACCUGCCCGUGUGGUUGGAAUACAGAACUUUUUUUGGUUUGAAUUCACAUUUAUUUGACAUGUUUUAGGUGAAUAACUCAUGAAACGUGGUUACAAAACCAUAUGUUUAUGCAUUUAAUCUAUUUUAGUAAUUUUGAUUGUAGGUAAUUAUUGAAUACUAUUGGUAAUAUAGUGUAACUUGUGACUAUUAAGCUGUUUUUCAAACUGCUUUUUUUCUGCUCUUAAUUUAAAAUGAUUUGAAUAAUAUAAUAAUAAUAAUAAUAAUAAUAAUAUUUAGACAAGCAAUUUUCUUUAUUAUCUGUCAUAAAAAAUGCCACAAGAACAUGUUUAAAACACCACUUUAACUGGAGUAGGUCAUAAAAAUGUGUCCAACCUGAGUAUUUGAUAUGGCGUUCGAGUCUGUCUUAACUUUAAGCACUAAAUUGGAUCCUUUAUUGGAGUACUUUAAGAUGUGGUUAAAAAAUAUUAAAAAUAAAUUUGUUUUGGAAUUUUAGAAAGAUUAAAGCUGAAAUUAAAGCAAACACUGGUAUUUAAAAAUAAAUGUAUUUAUUUAAUUAUUUAAACUGAUCACAACCAAAAAAAAAAAAACUUUUUUUUUUAAACAAUUCAAAGCAAAAAUAUUUGGGAGCAAAAGAAAAAGAUUGACUCGAAGCAAAAUAAAAUGUAAAUGCAUUUCUAGAAUAAAUUUCUAGAAGAAUUCAAAAUAUAUAUUUAUUUUUGUUACUUUAAUAAAUUAGGAUCAGACCAAAAUAGUUUUAAAGUUAUAAAACAUGUUUUUUUUUAUUAAAUAUAUUUUUUUAUAAGACAAAUGACAGAAAGUGAAAAUGAAAUUUGAAUGAUAAUAAAACCCAAGUUGACAAUUAAUUAAUUUAAAUAGCAAAGGACAAACUGACAACUAAUCAGAGAGUGAUUUUUUAUUUAGUUUUUGUCCAAACUGUGAUAAAUGUUCUCAGCAGAGGUGUCAGCCUCUACACCCCUUCAUUUCGCCGUCUGCCUUUUAGCCAUCUGCUUCUCUCUCCUCCAUUCUUCCUCAUCCCGUCUUCCUCCCACAUCCUCUCCCUCCGUCCUUCCUCUUAGCGCUUCUGCUCCUGUCCCUCCUUGCCUUACACAAGUCUGUUUACAUGGGAUUAGCAAGUGAAGCAGCACUCUGGCUGCUGGUUCUACCCUUUAAGGGAGUCAGGACUGGACUUCUGUCUCCAGCGAGUGUUUGUUUCUCUGACAAAUUCCUUUAUUUCUUUCCUAAAUGUUCGGUGCAGCCAAAAGCUUCACAAAUGAACUCUGCCUUUAAAGCAGCUGAUUGUUUGUUAUUCUCACUGUACCUGGCGGAGAAAAUCCACCCAGACAGGCGUCUUUGUAUCUACAAAUCAAAUUGUCUGAGAAGGAAAAACAUACAGAAUUUAGGGAUGCAAAUAAAAUAAAAUAAAAUCUACUGUAGGAAAAUGUGAAAAAAAAGAUUGAAAAGAAAACUAUAAAAGUAUAAACUGCAUAAAUUUGUUAAAAGUUCAAUAUUCGCAGAAGAAAUGUCCAUUUUGUGUAGAAGUGAGUUUAACGGGUAAUUUUAUUUUUCUUUAAGUGCCUUGCCGUGUUUAAAAUGUAUCUGCCUUGAAAACUGUAAAGUCUUUUGUGUUCUUUUUAGAUUUUAUUUUAUGUACACAGUCUUUUUGGGGGGUGAUGUGUCUAUAAAAUGUGUCACACAAUCUAAAACGGUGUAAAUAUUAGCUUAGUGUUUUCAAGCUUUGUACAAAUGAUGUCGCUCCUAAAAGUUUAUUUGACCUUAAUGGUGACAUUAUUUUUCAGGUCAAAAAUGUAAAUAUUUGAAGUUAAGAAGGUUUUGAUUAAAACAUGUUUUUGGCUUAAUUUGAUUUUUGUGUGCAUAAUUAAUGAAUGAAUGAAUUCUUUAAGUUUCUAUAAGAAGGUCAAAUUAAAGUAAAGAAACAUUCAAAGAUUGGCUUUUAAAUCUCAAAUGUUACUGUUAAUUUCUAUUCGGAUUUACAACAUUACGGCCUUUGAUGUAAUUGCUUACCAGACUUUUCAAUCAAACAUAAUGAAAGGAAAGGAGUUUUGUGCAACUUCUUUUUCGUUUUGUAAUUUGGCUAAAGGUGGUGGCUUUCUAGUGUAAUUAGAAAAAAACAAGUGUGCAACGCUGUACUCUGUCAGCUGUAUUUUCUACCAGAUCAAUUUUAUUUUACAAUACAGGUGGUGUGCAACAUUUGUGAUCAGUGUGUGUGCACACUGCUCUGUGAAGUGGCUGGAAGUGAUUUGCAUUAAAAUUAAACUAUAGAUAUGCUGUCUGCCUUCUGUCUUAACUCCUUUAUGAGGCUGCGCUCUUGUUUUGUAAGGAAAUAAAGCUUCCUGUUGGACUAAAACUGA